UUUACAGGUCACAAAUCAUAUGCAACCCAACGACUUCAUAGAUUGAGAAAUGAAGAAAAUUUCAUAGUGGGUUUUUGAAGACAUAUGGUCUUCUGGUGUUGUCGUCCUGUGAAAUCUUGGUGAAUCUCGUUCAAGGCACUGUUCCAAAUGCAUGUUUCGGCGAAUAAAGGAUACCUUGGCUGCGUGCAUCCAAAAGAAUGAGUGAAGUUUGAGGCCAAUGAAUGGCUAAUUGAUAAUCAAGCACAAAGGGGAUGGAUGGAUGGAUCUUGUGGAGAGCAUCUA